rnacentral:misc_RNA from 1 species
GUGGCAUAACUAUAAAAAAGUUAAAACUUUCAACAACGGAUCUCUUGGCUCUAGCAUCGAUGAAGAACGCAGCGAAAUGCGAUAAGUAAUGUGAAUUGCAGAAUUCAGUGAAUCAUCGAAUCUUUGAACGCACAUUGCGCCUGGCAGUAUUCUGCCAGGCAUGCCUGUCCGAGCGUCAUUUCACCACUCAAGACUCUUUUGUUCUUGGCGUUGGAGGUCCUGUUCUCCCCUGAACAGGCCGCCGAAAUGUAUCGGCUGUUAUACUUGCCAACUCCCCUGUGUAGUAUAAAAUUUCUAAUUUUUCACACUUUGAAGUUCUUGUGUAACACGCCGCUAAACCCGCUCAACUU